rnacentral:rRNA from 1 species
CCUACGGGAGGCAGCAGUGGGGAAUAUUGGACAAUGGGCGAAAGCCUGAUCCAGCAAUGCCGCGUGAGUGAUGAAGGCCUUCGGGUCGUAAAGCUCUUUUACCAGGGAUGAUAAUGACAGUACCUGGAGAAUAAGCUCCGGCUAACUCCGUGCCAGCAGCCGCGGUAAUACGGAGGGAGCUAGCGUUGUUCGGAAUUACUGGGCGUAAAGAGUACGUAGGCGGUUAUUCAAGUCAGAGGUGAAAGCCCGGGGCUCAACCCCGGAACUGCCUUUGAAACUAGAUAACUAGAGUCUUGGAGAGGUUAGUGGAAUUCCGAGUGUAGAGGUGAAAUUCGUAGAUAUUCGGAAGAACACCAGUGGCGAAGGCGACUAACUGGACAAGUACUGACGCUGAGGUACGAAAGCGUGGGGAGCAAACAGGAUUAGAUACCCUGGUAGUCCACGCCGUAAACGAUGAUAACUAGUUGUUCGGUCACUUGGUGACUGAGUGACGCAGCUAACGCAUUAAGUUAUCCGCCUGGGGAUACGGUCGCAAGNUUAAAACUCAAAGGAAUUGACGGCUGNGAGNGCGACGACGACACGAGGAGAG